rnacentral:rRNA from 1 species
AUUGAACGCUGGCGGCAUGCCUUACACAUGCAAGUCGAACGGCAGCAUGGAGGGCUUGCUCUCUGAUGGCGAGUGGCGAACGGGUGAGUAAUGCAUCGGAACGUACCGUGUAAUGGGGGAUAACGUAGCGAAAGUUACGCUAAUACCGCAUACGACCUGAGGGUGAAAGCAGGGGAUCGCAAGACCUUGCGUUAUACGAGCGGCCGAUGUCAGAUUAGCUAGUUGGUGAGUUAAAGGCUCACCAAGGCGACGAUCUGUAGCGGGUCUGAGAAGAUGAUCCGCCACACUGGGACUGAGACACGGCCCAGACUCCUACGGGAGGCAGCAGUGGGGAAUUUUGGACAAUGGGGGCAACCCUGAUCCAGCCAUGCCGCGUGAGUGAAGAAGGCCUUCGGGUUGUAAAGCUCUUUCGGCCGGGAAGAAAUCGCACAGGCUAAUACUCUGUGUGGAUGACGGUACCGGCAUAAGAAGCACCGGCUAACUACGUGCCAGCAGCCGCCGUAA